CUGCUGCCUUCCGUAGGAGUUUGGACCGUGUCUCAGUUCCAAUGUGGGGGACCUUCCUCUCAGAACCCCUACGCAUCGUCGGCUUGGUGGGCCGUUGCCCCACCAACUACCUAAUGCGCCGCAUGCCCAUCCGUGACCGGGGUCGCCCCCUUUGGCCGGCAGGGGAUGUCCCCUCCCGGCAUUAUGUUGUAUUAGGCGGGAUUUCUCCCGGUUAUCCAUCUGUCACGGCCAGGUUGCAUACGUGUUACUUACCCGUGCGCCGGUCGCCGGCGG
rnacentral:rRNA from 1 species